GGGGAUUUAGCUCAGUGGUAGAGCGCUUGCCUAGGAAGCGCAAGGCCCUGGGUUCGGUCCCCAGCUAUACUCU
rnacentral:tRNA from 1 species